rnacentral:rRNA from 1 species
GCCUACACAUGCAAGUCGAACGGAGAAUCAGCAAUGGUUCUUAGUGGCGAACGGGUGAGUAACGCGUAGACAACCUGCCUCAAAGAUGGGGACAACACCGCGAAAGUGGUGCUAAUACCGAAUGUUGCAUUGGAUUCGCAUGAAUCUGAUACUAAAGGUGGCCUCUUUAAAUGCUACCGCUUUGAGAUGGGUCUGCGUCUGAUUAGCUAGUUGGUGAGGUAACAGCUCACCAAGGCGAUGAUCAGUAGCCGGUCUGAGAGGAUGAACGGCCACACUGGGACUGAGACACGGCCCAGACUCCUACGGGAGGCAGCAGUGGGGAAUCUUCCGCAAUGGACGAAAGUCUGACGGAGCAACGCCGCGUGAGUGAAGAAGGUUUUCGGAUCGUAAAGCUCUGUCUUUGAGGACGAAUGUGCUUAAUGUAAAUAAUGUUAAGUAAUGACGGUACUCGAGGAGGAAGCCACGGCUAACUACGUGCCAGCAGCCGCGGUAAUACGUAGGUGGCAAGCGUUGUCCGGAAUUAUUGGGCGUAAAGCGCGCGCAGGCGGGAUAUUAAGUCUGUCUUAAAAGUUCGGGGCUCAACCCCGUGAUGGGAUGGAAACUAAUAUUCUUGAGUGCAGGAGAGGAAAGUGGAAUUCCCAGUGUAGCGGUGAAAUGCGUAGAUAUUGGGAGGAACACCAGUGGCGAAGGCGACUUUCUGGACUGUGUCUGACGCUGAGGCGCGAAAGCCAGGGGAGUGAACGGGAUUAGAUACCCCGGUAAAUCCUGGCCGUAAACGAUGGGUACUAGGUGUAGGAGGUAUCGACCCCUUCUGUGCCGGAGUUUACCGCAAUAAGUACCCCGCCUGGGGAGUACGGCCGCAAGGUUGAAACUCAAGGAAUUGACGGGGGCCCGCACAGCGGUGGAGUAUGUGGUUUAAUU